UACGAAGGGGGCUAGCGUUGCUCGGAAUCACUGGGCGUAAAGCGCACGUAGGCGGAUUCUUAAGUCAGGGGUGAAAUCCCGGGGCUCAACCCCGGAACUGCCUUUGAUACUGGUAGUCUCGAGUCCGGAAGAGGUGAGUGGAAUUCCGAGUGUAGAGGUGAAAUUCGUAGAUAUUCGGAGGAACACCAGUGGCGAAGGCGGCUCACUGGUCCGGUACUGACGCUGAGGUGCGAAAGCGUGGGGAGCAAACAGG
rnacentral:rRNA from 1 species